UACAGAGGUCUCAAGCGUUGUUCGGAUUCAUUGGGCGUAAAGGGUGCGUAGGCGGCGAGGUAAGUCCGAUGUGAAAUCCCGGAGCUCAACUCCGGAACUGCACUGGAUACUGCCUUGCUUGAGUGCUGGAGAGGAGACUGGAAUUUACGGUGUAGCAGUGAAAUGCGUAGAUAUCGUAAGGAAGGCCAGUGGCGAAGGCGAGUCUCUGGACAGCUACUGACGCUGAGGCACGAAGGCCAGGGGAGCAAACGGG
rnacentral:rRNA from 1 species